AUUCCCUCUACACGUUCACAACCACAAGACCGCAAUUCAAUUCAUCAGACAUCGUGUUCGUCUUUUCGGGGCGGCCAGUAUUCACAAAUGAAGGGAACACGAAGAGCUAUGGUCCAAAAGGUCUCACCUGGGAGAAAGGAAUAUGCAACGCCACCACAAAGUUUGUUAUUGUGAGCGACAUAGGGAAGCGUUUCAGCGCCUUGCCCAACGCUGCGUUCCACCUUGCUCGCCUACUCGGUGCACCAACAGAUUGCACAAAGGACUACUCUGUGCUGGAGGGCAACUAUAAACUAUUUAAUCUCUCGUCAUGCGUCAUGGAUGGUAUUAGAAAUCA